GGUAAGGUGGCUGAGGAGUAGGCGAUAGAUUGUAAGUCUAUUUACAAGAAUUAGUUCUUUCUUAUCA
rnacentral:tRNA from 1 species